rnacentral:rRNA from 1 species
CUACGGGGGGCUCCAGUGAGGAAUAUUGCACAAUGGGGGGAACCCUGAUGUAGCAACGCCGCGUGGAGGAUGACGCAUUUCGGUGUGUAAACUCCUUUUAUAAGUCAAGAAAAUGACGGUAGCAUAUGAAUAAGCACCGGCUAACUCCGUGCCAGCAGCCGCGGUAAUACGGAGGGUGCAAGCGUUACUCGGAAUCACUGGGCGUAAAGGACGCGUAGGCGGGGUGGAAAGUCAGGUGUGAAAUCCUACAGCUUAACUGUAGAACUGCACUUGAAACUUCUAAUCUAGAGUAUGGGAGGGGGAGAUGGAAUUCGUGGUGUAGGGGUAAAAUCCGUAGAUAUCACUAGGAAUACCUAAAGCGAAGGCGAUCUCCUGGAACAUUACUGACGCUAAGGCGUGAAAGCGUGGGGAGCAAACAGGAUUAGAUACCCUUGUAGUC